rnacentral:rRNA from 1 species
CCUGGCUCAGGAUGAACGCUAGCGGCAGGCUUAACACAUGCAAGUCGAGGGGUAGAGUUCUUCGGAGCUUGAGACCGGCGCACGGGUGCGUAACGCGUAUGCAAUCUACCUUUUACAGAGGGAUAGCCCAGAGAAAUUUGGAUUAAUACCUCAUAGUAUAAUUGAAUGGCAUCAUUUAAUUAUUAAAGUCACAACGGUAAAAGAUGAGCAUGCGUCCCAUUAGCUAGUUGGUAAGGUAACGGCUUACCAAGGCUACGAUGGGUAGGGGUCCUGAGAGGGAGAUCCCCCACACUGGUACUGAGACACGGACCAGACUCCUACGGGAGGCAGCAGUGAGGAAUAUUGGACAAUGGGCGCAAGCCUGAUCCAGCCAUGCCGCGUGCAGGAUGACGGUCCUAUGGAUUGUAAACUGCUUUUGUACAGGAAGAAACACUGGUUCGUGAACCAGCUUGACGGUACUGUAAGAAUAAGGAUCGGCUAACU